rnacentral:rRNA from 1 species
AACAGGAUUAGAUACCCUGGUAGUGCACGCCGUAAACGAUGUCGACUUGGAGGUUGUUCCCUUGAGGAGUGGCUUCCGGAGCUAACGCGUUAAGUCGACCGCCUGGGGAGUACGGCCGCAAGGUUAAAACUCAAAUGAAUUGACGGGGGCCCGCACAAGCGGUGGAGCAUGUGGUUUAAUUCGAUGCAACGCGAAGAACCUUACCUACUCUUGACAUCCACGGAAUUCGGCAGAGAUGCCUUAGUGCCUUCGGGAACCGUGAGACAGGUGCUGCAUGGCUGUCGUCAGCUCGUGUUGUGAAAUGUUGGGUUAAGUCCCGCAACGAGCGCAACCCUUAUCCUUUGUUGCCAGCGAUUCGGUCGGGAACUCAAAGGAGACUGCCGGUGAUAAACCGGAGGAAGGUGGGGAUGACGUCAAGUCAUCAUGGCCCUUACGAGUAGGGCUACACACGUGCUACAAUGGCGCAUACAAAGAGAAGCGACCUCGCGAGAGCAAGCGGACCUCAUAAAGUGCGUCGUAGUCCGGAUCGGAGUCUGCAACUCGACUCCGUGAAGUCGGAAUCGCUAGUAAUCGUGGAUCAGAAUGCCACGGUGAAUACGUUCCCGGGCCUUGUACACACCGCCCGUCACACCAUGGGAGUGGGUUGCAAAAGAAGUAGGUAGCUUAACCUUCGGGAGGGCGCUUACCACUUUGUGAUUCAUGACUGGGGUGAAGUCGUAACAAGGUAACC